rnacentral:rRNA from 1 species
CCUACGGGGCGCUGCAGUGAGGAAUAUUGGUCAAUGGGCGCGAGCCUGAACCAGCCAAGUAGCGUGAAGGAUGACUGCCCUACGGGUUGUAAACUUCUUUUAUAAGGGAAUAAAGUGUGGGACGUGUCCUGUUUUGUAUGUACCUUAUGAAUAAGGAUCGGCUAACUCCGUGCCAGCAGCCGCGGUAAUACGGAGGAGCCGAGCGUUAUCCGGAUUUAUUGGGUUUAAAGGGUGCGUAGGCGGCCUUUUAAGUCAGCGGUGAAAGUCUGUGGCUCAACCAUAGAAUUGCCGUUGAAACUGGGAGGCUUGAGUAUGUUUGAGGCAGGCGGAAUGCGUGGUGGAGCGGUGAAAUGCUUAGAUAUCACGCAGAACCCCGAUUGCGAAGGCAGCCUGCCAAGCCAUGACUGACGCUGAUGCACGAAAGCGUGGGGAUCAAACAGGAUUAGAUACCCCUGUAGUC